GCCCAGGUGGUGGAAUUGGUAGACACGCCAGCUUCAGGUGCUGGUGAUCGAAAGGUCGUGGAGGUUCAAGUCCUCUCCUGGGCACCA
rnacentral:tRNA from 5 species